CAGUAGCCGCGGGAAUACGAAGGGGGCAAGCGCUGUCCGGAAUUAUUGGGCGUAAAGCGCGCGCAGGCGGUUUUUUAAGUCUGGUGUCUAAGUGCGGGGCUCAACCCCGUGACGCACUGGAAACUGGGAGACUUGAGUGCAGAAGAGGAGAGCGGAAUUCCACGUGUAGCGGUGAAAUGCGUAGAGAUGUGGAGGAACACCAGUGGCGAAGGCGGCUCUCUGGACUGUAACUGACGCUGAGGCGCGAAAGCGUGGGGAGCAAACAGGAUUAGAUACCCCCGUAGUCCCUGUCUCUUAUACA
rnacentral:rRNA from 1 species